CCGGGUCUACGCCUUGGUCGCCGCGGGAUGACAGCGCGGUGGGCUGGGAGUCGGUCUCCAGCUUGCUCUCGGUCUUCUGCAAACAGAUAGAUGUUUUGGAUCCGAUGUGCAGAGGGGGAAAAAUUUGGGAAGGCGAGAUGACGCGCUAUCCGUCUUAGUCGCUCUCUCCAGGACACGUGAUCCAAAGUAGAUAUUGUCAUAUAUCAGUUUGGAGCACUUAGAAGCGUAGGAGUGGUUCACUUAGAAGCCCAGGGGACUGGAUAAAGAUUCUUCAUCAUGAUCCAGAAAGCCAUGCUAUAAAGGCGUUUAGAGAAUAUUGACAGCUGAUAGAGGCUGCUGGCAUAUCCAGUAAAGUCCCCCUAAACAAAGGAUGCGUGCUUAAAACUCUUCUGUCU